CCUACGGGAGGCUGCAGUGAGGAAUAUUGGUCAAUGGACGAGAGUCUGAACCAGCCAAGUAGCGUGAAGGAUGACUGCCCUAUGGGUUGUAAACUUCUUUUAUAAAGGAAUAAAACGAGGCACGUGUGCCUUUUUGCAUGUACUUUAUGAAUAAGGAUCGGCUAACUCCGUGCCAGCAGCCGCGGUAAUACGUAGGGAGCGAGCGUUGUCCGGAAUUACUGGGUGUAAAGGGAGCGUAGGCGGGGAUGCAAGUUGGGUGUCAAAACUACCGGCUCAACUGGUAGUCGCACUCAAAACUGCAGCUCUUGAGUGAAGUAGAGGCAGGCGGAAUUCCUAGUGUAGCGGUGAAAUGCGUAGAUAUUAGGAGGAACACCAGUGGCGAAGGCGGCCUGCUGGGCUUUUACUGACGCUGAGGCUCGAAAGUGUGGGGAGCAAACAGGAUUAGAUACCCCAGUAGUC
rnacentral:rRNA from 1 species